UGGGGAAUAUUGCACAAUGGGCGCAAGCCUGAUGCAGCCAUGCCGCGUGUGUGAAGAAGGCCUUCGGGUUGUAAAGCACUUUCAGCGGGGAGGAAGGCGAUAAGGUUAAUAACCUUGUCGAUUAACGUUACCCGCAGAAGAAGCACCGGCUAACUCCGUGCCAGCAGCCGCGGUAAUACGUAGGGUGCAAGCGUUAAUCGGAAUUACUGGGCGUAAAGCGCACGCAGGCGGUCUGUCAAGUCGGAUGUGAAAUCCCCGGGCUCAACCUGGGAACUGCAUUCGAAACUGGCAGGCUAGAGUCUUGUAGAGGGGGGUAGAAUUCCAGGUGUAGCGGUGAAAUGCGUAGAGAUCUGGAGGAAUACCGGUGGCGAAGGCGGCCCCCUGGACAAAGACCGACGCUCAGGUGCGAAAGCGUGGGGAGCAAACAGG
rnacentral:rRNA from 1 species